UACGGAGGGUGCGAGCGUUGUCCGGAAUCACUGGGCGUAAAGGGCGCGUAGGCGGCGCGGUAAGCGUGCGGUGAAAGUCCGGGGCUCAACCCCGGAUCGGCCGUGCGGACUGCCGGGCUUGAGCACUGUAGGGGCGGGUGGAACUCCGGGUGUAGCGGUGGAAUGCGUAGAGAUCCGGAAGAACACCGGUGGCGAAGGCGGCCCGCUGGGCAGUUGCUGACACUGAGGCGCGACAGCGUGGGGAGCAAACAGG
rnacentral:rRNA from 1 species